rnacentral:rRNA from 1 species
ACACGUAAGGGGCGAGCGUUGUUCGGAAUUAUUGGGCGUAAAGGGCGCGUAGGCGGUUCUGCAAGCCCGGCGUGAAAAUCUGGAGCUUAACUCCGGAACUGCGUUGGGAACUGCGGGACUAGAGUCAUAGAAGGGGAGUUGGAAUUCCAGGUGUAGGGGUGAAAUCUGUAGAUAUCGGGAGGAAGGCCGGUGGCGAAGGCGCCCUUCUGGACGGCAACUGACGCUGAGACGCGAAAGCGUGGGGAGC